rnacentral:rRNA from 1 species
GAUGAACGCUAGCGGCAGGCUUAAUACAUGCAAGUCGUGGGGCAGCAGGGUUGUAGCAAUACAAUCGCUGGCGACCGGCAAACGGGUGCGUAACACGUACGCAACCUUCCCGUUACUGUGGCAUAGCCCAGGGAAACUUGGAUUACUACCACAUAUUAUAUUGAUGAGGCAUCUCAUUGAUAUCAAAGCUUCGGCGGUAACGGAUGGGCGUGCGGUUGAUUAGGUAGUUGGCGGGGUAACGGCCCACCAAGCCUACGAUCAAUAGCUGAUGUGAGAGCAUGAUCAGCCACACGGGCACUGAGACACGGGCCCGACUCCUACGGGAGGCAGCAGUAAGGAAUAUUGGGCAAUGGACGAAAGUCUGACCCAGCCAUGCCGCGUGAAGGAUUAAGGUCCUCUGGAUUGUAAACUUCUUUUCUCUGGGGCGAAAACCAGCUAUUCUUAGCUAUUUGACAGUACCAGAGGAAUAAGCACCGGCUAACUCCGUGCCAGCCGCCGCCGUAAAAC